UACGUAGGGUGCGAGCGUUAAUCGGAAUUACUGGGCGUAAAGCGUGCGCAGGCGGUUUUGUAAGCCAGAUGUGAAAUCCCCGGGCUCAACCUGGGAAUGGCAUUUGGGACUGCAAGGCUGGAGUGCGGCAGAGGAGACUGGAAUUCCUGGUGUAGCAGUGAAAUGCGUAGAUAUCAGGAGGAAUACCGAUGGCGAAGGCGGCUUCUGGACGACAACUGACGCUGAGACGCGAAAGCGUGGGGAGCAAACAGG
rnacentral:rRNA from 1 species